GGCCUCCAGGGCCUUGUACACUCUAGGCUUUCAUUCAUUGUCGCACACUCAGUGAAGGCCUACUGUGUGCCAGGCCCCUCUGCC
rnacentral:miRNA from 1 species